UCCACUUAGUUCAAUGGCUGAACUGACCGUUUCCCAAAAUAAUUGGAAGCGGGAGGUCGGGGGUUCGAAUCCCCUUGGUGGCU